GCGCCGUUAGCUCAAUUGGAUAGAGCGUCUGACUUCGGAUCAGAAGGCUAGGGGUUCAAGUCCUCUACGGCGCGCCA
rnacentral:tRNA from 1 species